UUUUUUAUGGAGAGUUUGAUCCUGGCUCAGAGUGAACGCUGGCGGCGUGCCUAAUACAUGCAAGUCGAACGAACGGAGGAAGAGCUUGCUCUUCCAAAGUUAGUGGCGGACGGGUGAGUAACACGUGGGUAACCUGCCUCAAAGGGGGGGAUAGCCUUCCGAAAGGAAGAUUAAUACCGCAUAAUAUAAGAGAAUCGCAUGAUUUUCUUAUCAAAGAUUUAUUGCUUUGAGAUGGACCCGCGGCGCAUUAGCUAGUUGGUAAGGUAACGGCUUACCAAGGCAACGAUGCGUAGCCGACCUGAGAGGGU
rnacentral:rRNA from 1 species